UGUGCCCAGAUGGGAUUAGCUAGUAGGUGGGGUAACGGCUCACCUAGGCGACGAUCCCUAGCUGGUCUGAGAGGAUGACCAGCCACACUGGAACUGAGACACGGUCCAGACUCCUACGGGAGGCAGCAUG
rnacentral:rRNA from 1 species